AUAUGGGUCUAUACAGUACCUAAAGGAUGUAAUAGUUUUCCAUUGGUUCAAAGUGAUGUGAUUAUAUUGUGAUUUUCAGAAUUGCUACUCCAAUUUUGUUUACCAUUCAUAGAACAACACUCUGCCGGUCUUGCUAUUCGCCAUUUUCCUCCGCACUAUAAUGCUGCCACUCAGUGAUGCCUCGGCAAGAAGACCAAUCGCAGGGAGAUGUGCCAUGGCAUGUCCUGAAGAGGCAAUCAGAUAUUUCGGUGGCCUCAAGCCCUCAACCCUCUGGAUCAUCCGUCCGUUGUGCAUGCUCUCAUUUGGGUUGCCGAGGGACACCUCCUCCUGUGGCGCUCCUGUCCAAUUUUUUGUUUAUGUAAAAAAUUCUUACCAUCGCCUCACCUAUUUGGACAAUUAGCUUCAGGUAACUGCUUUAUGUGGAAAUAUGCCAAUGGAUAAUAUCCUCCAGAUUAACAAGUUCAUGUGUGCUGCUCUUAUUAUCUACCUGGUAUAGUCUUGUCUGACACUUGUAUUAAUGGCUUUUUCCUCUGGAGUACCAAGAAAAAUAGCAGUAUUACUUAGGGUUUGUUUGUUUGGGCUGCCAUUUCCAUGGCUGCAGCUGAAGGAGCGGCUGUAGCUGUUAAUGAAGAGAGGCACUUUGCAUUUGUCCACCAGAAGUAUAGAUCGGUAAAGUACAGAGAAGCUUCAGAGCAUGGUAGCAUUGUUUAUGAGAAGACUCCACGACGGACUGAUAACCUACUUCUUCUUGGAGUUAUCUACUGUCAGUUUAAGACUUGGUGCUAGCCGGAGCUUCUAUUUUCUACCAAAACUACUAUUAACAAAAGAACUCUAGCGAUCCAGGAUUUUAUCCUAAGCUGCUAUUAAACUCACAAGAGGGAGUUAAUAACGAAAUAACUCUAGCCAUGCUUUUUGAUAUACUACGCAUAUAUAUGACUAGCACAAAUGCCCGUGCGUUGCAACGGUAAAGUAAAUUAAUAUGUU